UACGUAGGGUGCAAGCGUUAAUCGGAAUUACUGGGCGUAAAGCGUGCGCAGGCGGUUUUGUAAGUCUGUCGUGAAAGCCCCGGGCUCAACCUGGGAAUUGCGAUGGAGACUGCAAGGCUUGAAUCUGGCAGAGGGGGGGUAGAAUUCCACGUGUAGCAGUGAAAUGCGUAGAGAUGUGGAGGAAUACCGAUGGCGAAGGCAGCCUCCUGGGCCAACACUGACGCUCAUGCACGAAAGCGUGGGGAGCAAACAGG
rnacentral:rRNA from 1 species